UUUUGAUUUAAAUAUAAGAACUUGAGUAGUAAUAGUUUGGGUCUUGAAACUCAAAGAAUUUGGCGGUAUUAUAGUCUGUUCAGAGGAAUCUGUCCCGUAAUCGAUAAUCCGCGUUGGACCUUUCUUGUUUUAUUUGUUUGUAUACCGCCGUUAAUUUUGAAGAUCUUGGGAGAGUAAUAAUUUUUUUAAUAUUUUGUUUAGUAAAUUUUCAGGUCAAGGUGCAGUUUAUAGACAAGUGGAGAUGGAUUACAUUAAUAUUUAAUUAAUGAUUGGAUUAUUAAUUGGAAUAUUAUUAAUAUGAAAUUGGAUUUGAUAGUAAUUUUAUAAAGAUUAAUAUUGUGAAUAUGGCUCUAUAGUAUGU
rnacentral:rRNA from 1 species